CAGGUUUGGGUCAGGGGCUUAGCCCUGCCACUGCCUCCCUCAGCAGCCGGCUCUGGGACUCUGGGAUGUAUCCCAGAGAGCUGGCAGCAGGCGAGAGCUGUGCGUGCCAGGGUGUGACAGCACGUGCCAGUGCACUGUCCAGGCCGAUGGGGCUUAUACCCAUUUGUGUAUUUUGGUAACUCUGCCAGCGUGGUUCUACCAUUCAGCGCUUCUUGCACAGGCACUAAGCGUGCCUUCUGCACAGCUCCCCUGUCCCCUCCUGCACAGCCACUCUGCCCCACGCUGCCUGUCCUGCCCCACGCUGCCUCCGACAUGCUGGGCUCCAGCACCGCUUGUACAAGCACCACACGUGCCUGGGCACGGGCUCACUGCAUGGGCGCCCGUCAGCGCAGCUGCUUGUGCUGCACACCUCCUCCAGUCAUGCUGCCUGAGCUGAGGGAUUUGGGAAGCUCUUGUUCCUACCAAAUGGGGUGGAGAGAAGCGAAAACCGGUGCACACACCCCCCUAAUCCAAAAGUGAAGCAGAUCCCAUUGGGGUGAAAACACAGUACUAGCAUGAGUGUUGUUCACAGCCAUCUCCUGCUGAGGUGGGUGUCUGAGUCUGUCUGCAAGAACAUGCCCUAAAUAAGCUGUACUCAAUCCUUGGGAGUCUUGAACAUCCUUUGUGGUGAUGGGGGGUGUUGAAGGACAUUUUUCUCUGAAUGGAGUUGUGAAGCAGCAAUGUAAUACACUCAAGAGUCAUAUAUUAAUUUAAGAGACACCAUCCACCCCCAUGCCAUGGAUCAUGGCUUCAACCAAAGCCCUGUGAACAUCAAAUCCUCCAUCAGGCAUUGUUCAUCCCCUGGGAGCACGCAAUAUUUGCUGCUUGGUUGCUGCAGUUGGAUUCACUGCAGCAGUAGCAGAGUCCCAAGGUUGAGUCCUGUGGCUGAACAGCCACAUGUGCCUCUCCUGCUCUUGUAUCGCCUGGAAAUGCCCACACUGGGAAGCACAAAGGAAGAUGGGGCCACGGCCCCUUGCCAUCACCAGUAAGUCUACCCCUGGGUGGAUCAGCCCUUCUGGUUAAACGGGUCACUGCUCUUCCUCUUUGGGCCUUCCCCAUCAUCACUGAACGAGACUGCCACCGAGAUGAGUCAAACCGUCAGACAACAUCUGCACCUCCACACAGCACGUCCAUGCGCUUGGAUAGUUCAACUGGUGGGCUCGGCCCAGGCAGCGGAAGCAAAGAAACCCUGGUUGACUGGGGGGAGUCUGGUAGCUGAACCUUUUCAGUGUCCCAAGCGCAGCUGGGUGAUCUGGUUCAUUUCUGACUGAUCCCAGAAGGCAGACAAGGCCAGUGAAGACAGCAGUGAGAGGAAGUUUGACCUUGAAUGGAUGUACUGUACCAGGGUUUGAGAUCUACUGACCUGGAGACUCUUGUAUAACUCCAUCCCUUCAUCCUCAGCUCUGGACCUGAAAAGGUGCCUGAGAAAACAGCUUCAUUAAUAACCCUGAAGCACUCACUCAGUGCUGAAGUGCCAAGCAUUAGAAAGAGUCUGUGAAGAAAUGGAAAAGCAGGAUGAUGGAGCACGCUGACUGCACGACAAGAUGAAGUCGAGAUCACACUGAACCCAGAGUCCCUGCAGCCACUCUGUCCUGGGAGAACAAGACUUCCUUCAGCAUUGCCUGCUGUAAUUUACAAGGGACAAGUACAAGAUUGGUCGUGUCCUUUCCCUCAAAACCUCUGGAACCAUCCUUUCUCCAUCAAGCUGCUGGUAUGGCAGUAGCCUAACAUUGGUGAGUUUUUCCAGUGCCACAGACAGUGAUUUCACAGCUCCUGUGAUUAAGAUCAAAGAAAACUAAAUGAUCCCUGAGAGAAAGUCAGGUAGGUAAUGUUAUUCACAGUG